rnacentral:lncRNA from 1 species
UCUGCUGUGGGAGAGGGAGUGGGUUUUGUCCAUAUUUCUUACAUUGUUUCUGUAUAGAGUUGCAGGUGAGUGUGGUGGAACAGUAGUGAGGAGGAGUUGUUGGGAAGAGAGGAAGGUAAGAAGACAGCCUAUGUCAUUAUGAUUUGCAAGUUAUUCUAGACAUCAUGAAAGCAAGACAUAUUGCUUCCAGCUUUCUUGCCUUAGUAGAUCAAUACCCCUUCAAAAGCAUACAUUCAUCAGAAGAAGAACACUUAAGACUGAUGCAGCUCAGAAUUAUUCCAUAGGUUCAAGAACCAAGGAAGAAGCAAUAAAAUAGAAUCAAAGGUGUUUGGU